rnacentral:rRNA from 1 species
GAUGAACGCUGGCGGCGUGCCUAAUACAUGCAAGUCGAGCGAACGGACGAGAAGCUUGCUUCUCUGAUGUUAGCGGCGGACGGGUGAGUAACACGUGGAUAACCUACCUAUAAGACUGGGAUAACUUCGGGAAACCGGAGCUAAUACCGGAUAAUAUUUUGAACCGCAUGGCUCAAAAGUGAAAGACGGUCUUGCUGUCACUUAUAGAUGGAUCCGCGCUGCAUUAGCUAGUUGGUAAGGUAACGGCUUACCAAGGCAACGAUGCAUAGCCGACCUGAGAGGGUGAUCGGCCACACUGGAACUGAGACACGGUCCAGACUCCUACGGGAGGCAGCAGUAGGGAAUCUUCCGCGAUGGGCGAAAGCCUGACGGAGCAACGCCGCGUGAGUGAUGAAGGUCUUCGGAUCGUAAAACUCUGUUAUUAGGGAAGAACAUAUGUGUAAGUAACUGUGCACAUCUUGACGGUACCUAAUCAGAAAGCCACGGCUAACUACGUG